rnacentral:lncRNA from 1 species
GAAGAGGCUGUCCACGAAGGUCAGAGCGAUGUGGCCGCAAGCCAAGGAGUGCACGGCCGCUGGGAGCCAAGAGAAGCCAGCAGGACCUUCUCCAGGGCCUCAGAGGGGCCCCUUGGCCUAGUGAUGCUGGUUUCAGACUCCUGCCCUCCAGACCAGGUGUGGGGCUUUGGCCCUCCACUGGGCACCGCACAGCGUGGGAGCCCCCUCCCCCUGGCCCCUGCGGUGGGGUCGGCUGAAGCACUGGGCUGGUCACUCGGUGGAAAAGGACACAAGUUCCCCUUGGGGCCCAGAGGCUGCACAUCCGUCCUUCCAGGACUGGGCCUAAGGAAUUAAAUGGCUGUGAAAACAGGGGCACUGUGAGCCCCAGAGUCGGGCCAUGUCAUCUGAGGAUGAUGGUGGCAGCAGCAAAGCUCCAGAUGUGGACACAGUCCCUUCACCUACCGGGGCUGCACUUCCUCCGGUGCCACAGCCAGGCCAGGCGCCCUCCCUGAGGGAAUCCGCGGGUCCCGAUGGCCUCUGGGGUGAGACACUGGGACGUGCCUGCAGAGCAGCAAACACUCUCUGGGCCUCACACCCUCUUCCCGGCUGCACAGCGGCACCCCCAGGGGCCUGCCCCUGCUCAAAGCCAGCCCCACCGCCCAAGGUCUGGACCUGCCUGCCCUGCAGGUGGGGCUCAACUUCCUCGGGUUUUCUGCUCCCAGGUGAUUUUCCUCCCUGCAGCCAGGGCUGAGCACCUCGGCCAAGUGGCUCUUUGCUUUAAGAAGAGAGGGAAUCUCCCAGCCGCCAGCCCAUUGAGGCUCCCUGCACAGGACGGGACUCAGCGCCGCGGCGGUGGCAUGGCCGUGCCGGGCUGUGCUGUGACCUGAGGCCUCGUCCGUGAUGACCACGUCCUCGCAGAGCCUGGGGGCAGGGCCGGGGGGUGGUCAGAUGCGGUGGAGCCUGUGCCCUGUGCAUGACCGAAGCCACAAGCAUCAAAACAGCUACAUUCAUGCUGAAGAGGACAUUUAUUUUUAUUUUUGAGACGGAGUCUUGCUCUUUCGCCCAGGCUGGAGUGCAGUGGUGCGAUCUUGGCUCCCUGCAACCUCCGCCUCCCGGGUUCAAGUGAUUCUCCCACCUCCGCCUCCCAAGUAGCUGGGAUUACAGGCACGUGCCACCACGCCCAGCUAAAUUUUUUGUAUUCUUAGUAGAGACGGGGUUUCGCCAUGUUGGUCAGGUUAGUCUCGAACUCCCAGCCUCAAGUGAUCCCCCCUCCUUAGCCUCCCAAAGUGCUGGGAUUAUAGACGUUAGCCACCGUACCCAGCUGGCA